rnacentral:lncRNA from 1 species
CUUGGGAAAGUGGAGCCAUAAGUCGUAUGGGUAAACAGCAGCAAAAAAACCCUAUCUACUAACGGUGCCAUCUUGCCAUCUUGGUCCCUAAAGAAAGCUCCAUUUCCUAUUUCUCUUUACCUGAUCUGAAUUCCUUAGGCCCAGUUCUGGAGUCGCGCAGGGACAAUAAACAUUUAAUUAAUAGUUCCAUUCUCCUGCAGCCUGAACAUAGUUGGUUCACUUUGAGCUUUCAAGCCAGAUGUUGUUAAAGUCAAACAUGCUUCCGACUCUCAAUCUCGGAGGGCUUGUUAAAACACAGUUUGUUGGGCCUCCUCCCAGGGUUUCUGAUUCAGUAUAUCUUGGGUGGAGUCCUAGAAUUUACAUUUCUAAUAAGUUCCCAGAUAGUGUUGAUAGGUCUGGUCCACAAUUCAAACUCCAACACCUCCAGUGCAACCCAUUUGGAGUUGAAUUCCUAGCCGCCAAGGGCAGUGGCUUAGUAAAGCUUUGGGAUGAUAAUUCUUAAACUGAUUUGUCUUCCCAGUUGGUUGUGAACCACGUAUGGUAGGUAAACUGUGCCACAAGGAACUUACCAUGCCAGUUCAACACACCCAAACUGGGCUGUGCCCUAAUCACUCAUGCAUGUCCUCUGAUAAAGAAUAAGGAUGUCUUGACAAUAUCAAUCUGUAGCAGAACUAACCUUCCUUCCUUCCUUUCUUUCAUUGUAUAUUUUUUAUUACGAUUUAUUUUACUUAAAUGAGUACACUGUCACUAUCUUCAGACAUAUUAGAAAGGGCAUCAGACCCCAUUAUAGAUGGUUGUGAGCCACUAUGUGGUUUCUGGGUAUUAAACCCAGUGCCUCUGGAAGAGCAGUCAUUGUUUUUAACCACUGAGCUGUCUCUUGACCCCCCAUAGUGUAAGUUUUUAAACACAAGCUCUCACUUGUAUUCAUCUUACUUCAGGCCAGUUUCAGGUAGUGGAGUGAUACUGGUCUUUGAAACACUCUUUGAGUAACUGUAUUAUAGAUGACGAAGGAAGAUGCAUGGUUUUGCUCAGACUUUCAGCCUUCCUUUCCCAGGAUAAGAUCUGGGUUACCUGGCAGGGGCCUUGUACCCUUAUGACACCCAUAGAUUUCUCCACACAAGCAAUUUUUACAAUAGAAAUGAGUUCACAAGAUUCAGCAUGGUGUUAUGGUUCAUACCAUGAGGGAACAGAGACUAUCAGAGAACUUUGGGAAAUGGGCAGAAAGUCUAGCAUUAUACAAAUGCUCAUUCCUUGCUUGCACUUGGUUAUGUAAGAUACAAACAUCAGGCAAACACUCUGCUAUCUUUGUAACAUUUCUAUACAUAUAAAAUGAUUUCAAAGUAAAACGAAUGGAAAAAGACCCAUACCUUGUUAAAAGAGAGGGCACAUCUAUUCUAUGGGAAAACUACUCUGCCGUCUCCUGCUUUGUGGCAUGAUAAGGGGAGCAGAAAGGGAUGGUAGAAAGAUGGUUUCCUCUUAAUACAGUUUGGCUCUUGAGUCUUUUAUCUUUUACAGAGUAAAGUGUUUCUUAGAAAGUCAUUGACUGAAUACUAACUCAUGUUUUCUCUACAGUUUUGCUCUAGAAACCUUCAUCUCUGCAUCCUGGGAGUGGGUAGCUCUGGGUAGCAAAAGCAGCUCCAUGUGCAGAAAGCAGAUCUGUGCAAGGAGAAGUAAGCCCUCAUCUCUCUGAAAAUGGGCCCUUGUUGAUGUAAGUACAUCUUUUUCUGUUUGGGAGAAGAGUAGGGGAAAGCAUAUGUUUCCAAGCAGCACUUCGUGUGUGUGUGUGUGUGUGUGUGUGUGUGUGUGUGUGUGUGUGUGUGUGUGUGCCCUUGGUGACUGGUUCAGAGGCAGGUGAGAUGCAUUAGGCUUAAGGUGAGGCCUAACAUUCUGAUUUCCUGCCACAGGCCCCAUGAUGGCAGAUAGCUGCUGGGCACGACGUAGUGUGGGCCCUCUCUGAGACAGAGUCUGAAGAAGGAACAAAGCACGGGAAACAGCAAACAGUGCACACUUAGUAAGGGUAGACCCAACACAAGAUGUUCAAGCAGAAAUAUACUCAUCAAAACACAGUGUUAUUGCUCUCAUGGGAAAGGGAUGGAGGCAAUGGUGGGCCUGCCUGGCAAUCAUUGCUUUCCAAGCUUAUAUUUCCUGCAGGAAUCCUUAGAUCUAGUCACUUACCCUGUUAUUGAGGAAGAGAAUCAGGGUUGCACGGUACUGACUACCAUGAAGCUGAUACCCAUUCCAAACAUGGCUAAAGGUGAUGGUUUUCUGAAAAGUAAUGUAGUCCCUUUUCACUAUAUGCCUUUCACUUAUAGAGUAAAAUAUAAGGGGCUGGAGAGAUGGCUCAGGGGUGAAAGCAUUUGCUACUCUUGAAGAAGACCAGGGUUCAAUUCCCAGCACCCACCUGGCAGCUCACAACAAUCUGUGGCUCCAGUUCCAGGGCUUCCUCUUCUGGCCCCCAUGGGCAUGUAGUACACGGACAACCAUGCAGGCCCUGGACCCAUACACA